GACGAACGCUGGCGGCGUGCCUAAUACAUGCAAGUCGAACGCAGUGGGGACGGGUGAGUAACACGUGGGUAACCUCCCCUAAGAGGGGAUAACACUUGGAAACAGGUGCUAAACCGAUCCUGAUGGAUGGACCCGCGGUGCAUUAGCUAGUUGGUGAGGUAACGGCUCACCAAGGCGACGAUGCAUAGCCGAACUGAGAGGGUGAUGGGCAACACUGGGACUGAGACACGGACCAGACUCCUACGUGAGGCAGCAGGAGAGAAUCUACGGCAAUGGACGAAAGUGUGAACGAGCAAAGCCGCGUGAGUGAAGAAGGUUUUCGGAUCGUAAAACUCUGUGGUUAGAGAAGCGGUAUCUAACCAGAAAGCCACGGCUAACUACGUGCCAGCCGCCGCGGUAAUAC
rnacentral:rRNA from 1 species